rnacentral:rRNA from 1 species
CCUACGGGAGGCCGCAGUAGGGGAUUUUCGGCCAAGGCCGGAAGUCUUACCGAGCAACGCCGCCUGAGUGGAGAAGGUUUUCCGGUCGUAAAGCUCUGUUGUAAGAGAAGAACGAGUGUGAGAGUGAAAAGACACAACAUGACGGUACCUUAAGAAAAAGCGACGGCUAACUACGUGCCAGCAGCCGCGGUAAU